CUCAUCAGAGGACGUGGUGGCAAAGGAGGGCAGGGGUUUUAGGAGUUACCGUGUGUGGAUGCUCCCCGGCACUGCAGUGAAAGUCGGAUGGAGCAAAAGGUAGGGCAGAGUGUCCCUUUCACCACACCAUCUUCCGGCCGGGAAUCUGGCUUGCAGACUUUUUCUCUGCUGGUCUCUCAGGCCACGUGUGAGCAAGCACGUGUCACCAACAAGCGAGUGAGGGCUGGUUGUGGGGGAAAGUGUCAAGUGAUCAACCCUCUAGUUUGCCUGGACGCUCUAGGUUCUGCACUGACAGCCUUGCAUCCCUGAAAACCCCUCAGUCCCUGGCAAAACUGGACACUUGGUUAUCCUACUCACCAACCGGAGCAGUAUCAUGGAAAAUUAAGACUCACAACACCUGGUCAUGUGACCCAGCUCCAGCCAAUGAGAUCUAGUAGAGGUCUGGGAAGAAGUGGCUUCUGGGAAGGCUCUUACUUUCUUGAUGCUGGAGGACUGACAAGGCUGGCAGUAUGUGUCUGCUUCAUCCUUCCUCGCCAUCUUGAAGGUGACCUCAAGCAACAAGGGGCCAGAACUAUGUGGACUUUGAUUUGGAAUGUCCUUCCUACCCAGCCCUAUCCCCCUUCUGCUUGGGCUCAGGGUCCUGUUUUUCAGUGAAAAAUGGCAGGACUGGGGCUCAAGAAAGCCGAGUGCAGGUUCAAUCUGUUCAUUGACAGUGAGAACUUAGAUAAGUCACUCGCCUGUCCCAGAGCGGCUUGCCUUCCUCUGAGAACUGGGGCUGAGCCUGUGAGAACAGCCCCCCAGGUUCUUGGAAGAUCAAGUAAAGUAAGGUACCCUAUGAGGUGUUGAGGAGGUGCUGUUAGUGACAAGAAGAGGUCAGGUCAGCAUUCCCAAGGCUGUGUGAGAACUGCCCCAGAGGUGUGUUAAAAUUCUCAUUCUGGGCCUCCACUGCAAUCUACUGAAUCAGGAUUUCCAGAGGUGGGGCCCAGGAAAUGUGUGCAACCGAUUUUGCAUUGCAGCCUAGUUGGGGGUGGGGGAGAUACUGAAUUCAGUAAUAUAGUAGAGGGUGUUUCCCACUCUAAAAGCAGAAAUAGCUGUUUGGGGGAUUGGUCUUCUUUUGUACCAUUUUGAUGGUUAGGUGCAAGGCCCAGAUUUGGGAUAAUUUCAAGGUGAAAAACAGAAAACCAGAAUAAACAAGGAGGGGGGAAUCU
rnacentral:lncRNA from 1 species